rnacentral:tRNA from 1 species
GACCGUGCUGGUGGUCGUCGGAACCGCGGCCGCCUUGAUCUUGGCCCGGCGACAGUUCCAUCCCAUCCACGAUCU